rnacentral:tRNA from 1 species
GCCCGGGUGGCGGAACAGGUAGACGCGCUGUCUUGAGGGGGCAGUGCCCUUAUGGGCGUGCUGGUUCGAUUCCAGUCCCGGGCA